AUUGAACGCUGGCGGAAUGCUUUACACAUGCAAGUCGAACGGCAGCACGGACUUCGGUCUGGUGGCGAGUGGCGAACGGGUGAGUAACAUAUCGGAACGUAUCCAAUAAUGGGGGAUAACGAGUCGAAAGAUUCGCUAAUACCGCAUACGCCCUACGGGGGAAAGCUGGGGACCUUCGGCCCUGGCGUUAAUGGAGCGGCCGAUAUCUGAUUUGCUAGUUGGUGAGGUAAAGGCUCACCAAGGCGACGAUCAGUAGCUGGUCUGAGAGGACGACCAGCCACACUGGAACUGAGACACGGUCCAGACUCCUACGGGAGGCAGCAGUGGGGAAUUUUGGACAAUGGGCGCAAGCCUGAUCCAGCCAUUCCGCGUGAGUGAAGAAGGCCUUCGGGUUGUAAAGCUCUUUCGCAAGGGAAGAAAACUUAGCCACUAACAUUGGUUGAGGUUGACGGUACCUUGAUAAGAAGCACCGGCUAACUACGUGCCAGCAGCCGCCGUAA
rnacentral:rRNA from 1 species